AACGAACGCUGGCGGCAUGCCUAACACAUGCAAGUCGAACGAAGCCUUCGGGCUUAGUGGCGCACGGGUGCGUAACGCGUGGGAAUCUGCCCUUGGGUUCGGAAUAACAGUUAGAAAUGACUGCUAAUACCGAAUGAUGUCUUCGGACCAAAGAUUUAUCGCCCAAGGAUGAGCCCGCGUCGGAUUAGCUAGUUGGUGAGGUAAAGGCUCACCAAGGCGACGAUCCGUAGCUGGUCUGAGAGGAUGAUCAGCCACACUGGGACUGAGACACGGCCCAGACUCCUACGGGAGGCAGCA
rnacentral:rRNA from 1 species